rnacentral:rRNA from 1 species
UACGUAGGGACCAAGCGUUGUUCGGAUUUACUGGGCGUAAAGGGCGCGUAGGCGGCGCGGUAAGUCACUUGUGAAAUCUCUGAGCUUAACUCAGAACGGCCAAGUGAUACUGCAGUGCUAGAGUGUGGAAGGGGCAAUCGGAAUUCUUGGUGUAGCGGUGAAAUGCGCAGAUAUCAGGAGGAACACCUAUUGCGAAGGCAGCUCGCUGGGACGUAACUGACGCUGAGACGCGAAAGCGUGGGGAGCAAACAGG